AACGAACGCUGGCGGCAUGCCUAACACAUGCAAGUCGAACGGACCCUUCGGGGUUAGUGGCGGACGGGUGAGUAACACGUGGGAACGUGCCUUUAGGUUCGGAAUAGCUCCUGGAAACGGGUGGUAAUGCCGAAUGUGCCCUUCGGGGGAAAGAUUUAUCGCCUUUAGAGCGGCCCGCGUCUGAUUAGCUAGUUGGUGGUGUAACGGACCACCAAGGCGACGAUCAGUAGCUGGUCUGAGAGGAUGAUCAGCCACAUUGGGACUGAGACACGGCCCAAACUCCUACGGGAGGCAGCAGUGGGGAAUCUUGCGCAAUGGGCGAAAGCCUGACGCAGCCAUGCCGCGUGAAUGAUGAAGGUCUUAGGAUUGUAAAAUUCUUUCACCGGGGACGAUAAUGACGGUACCCGGAGAAGAAGCCCCGGCUAACUUCGUGCCAGCAGCCGCCGUAAUAC
rnacentral:rRNA from 1 species